rnacentral:rRNA from 1 species
GAAUUCACUAGUGAUUCAGGCCUAACACAUGCAAGUCGAGCGAACCCUUCGGGGUGAGCGGCGGACGGGUGAGUAACGCGUGGGUAACCUGCCCUGUACACACGGAUAACAUACCGAAAGGUAUGCUAAUACGAGAUAAUAUGUAACGAUCGCAUGGUCGAUACAUCAAAGCUCCGGCGGUACAGGAUGGACCCGCGUCUGAUUAGCUAGUUGGUGAGGUAAUGGCUCACCAAGGCGACGAUCAGUAGCCGACCUGAGAGGGUGAUCGGCCACAUUGGAACUGAGACACGGUCCAAACUCCUACGGGAGGCAGCAGUGGGGAAUAUUGCACAAGGGGCGAAAGCCUGAUGCAGCAACGCCGCGUGAGUGAAAGAGGCCUUCGGGUCGUAAAGCUCUGUCCUCAAGGAAGAUA